rnacentral:rRNA from 1 species
ACGACAGGGGGGGCGUGCUAAUACAUGCAAGUCGAGCGGACAGAAGGGAGCUUGCUCCCGGAUGUUAGCGGCGGAGGGGAGAGUAACACGUGGGUAACCUGCCUGUAAGACUGGGAUAACUCCGGGAAACCGGAGCUAAUACCGGAUAGUUCCUUGAACCGCAUGGUUCAAGGAUGAAAGACGGUUUCGGCUGUCACUUACAGAUGGACCCGCGGCGCAUUAGCUAGUUGGUGAGGUAACGGCUCACCAAGGCGACGAUGCGUAGCCGACCUGAGAGGGUGAUCGGCCACACUGGGACUGAGACACGGCCCAGACUCCUACGGGAGGCAGCAGUAGGGAAUCUUCCGCAAUGGACGAAAGUCUGACGGAGCAACGCCGCGUGAGUGAUGAAGGUUUUCGGAUCGUAAAGCUCUGUUGUUAGGGAAGAACAAGUGCAAGAGUAACUGCUUGCACCUUGACGGUACCUAACCAGAAAGCCACGGCUAACUACGUGCCAGCAGCCGCGGUAAUACGUAGGUGGCAAGCGUUGUCCGGAAUUAUUGGGCGUAAAGGGCUCGCAGGCGGUUUCUUAAGUCUGAUGUGAAAGCCCCCGGCUCAACCGGGGAGGGUCAUUGGAAACUGGGAAACUUGAGUGCAGAAGAGGAGAGUGGAAUUCCACGUGUAGCGGUGAAAUGCGUAUAGAUGUGGAGGAACACCAGUGGCGAAGGCGACUCUCUGGUCUGUAACUGACGCUGAGGAGCGAAAGCGUGGGGGAGCGAACAGGAUUAGAUACCCUGGUAGUCCACGCCGUAAACGAUGAGUGCUAUGUGUUAGGGGGUUUCCGCCCCCUUAGUGCUGCAGCUAACGCA